rnacentral:rRNA from 1 species
GUGGGGAAUAUUGGGCAAUGGGGGAAACCCUGACCCAGCGACGCCGCGUGGGUGAAGAAAUCCUUCGGGAUGUAAAGCCCUGUUGUAUGGGAAGAGCGGAAGACGGUACCAUACGAGGAAGCCCCGGCAAACUACGUGCCAGCAGCCGCGGUAAUACGUAGGGGGCAAGCGUUGUCCGGAAUUACUGGGCGUAAAGCGCACGCAGGCUGAAUUAUAAGUCGGUAGUCAAAGGCGGAGGCUCAACCUGUGUAUAUCUAUCGAUACUGUAAAUCUGGAGUAUGUGAGAGGGAAGCGGAAAUCCCGGUGUAGCGGUGAAAUGCGUAGAUAUCGGGAGGAACACCAGUGGCGAAGGCGGCUUCCUGGCACAAUACUGACGCUCAUGUGCGAAAGCUAGGGCAGCGAACGGGAUUAGAAACCCGGGUAGUCC